rnacentral:rRNA from 1 species
AUUGAACGCUGGCGGCAGGCCUAACACAUGCAAGUCGAACGAGUGGCGGACGGGUGAGUAAUGUCUGGGAAACUGCCUGAGGGGGGGAGAUAACUAGUGGAAACGGUCGCUAAUACCGCAUAACAUCAGAUGUGCCCAGAUGGGAUUAGCUUGUUGGUGGGGUAAAGGCUCACCAAGGCGACGACCCCGAGCUGGUCUGAGAGGAUGACCAGCCACACUGGAACUGAGACACGGUCCAGACUCCUACGGCAGGCAGCAGUGGGGAAGAUCGCACAAUUGGCGCAAGCCUGAUGCAGCCAUGCCGCGUGUAUGAAGAAGGCCUUAGGGUUGUAAAGGACUUUCAGCGGGGAGGCGUUACCCGCAGAAGAAGCACCGGCUAACUCCGUGCCAGCAGCCGCGGUAAUUC